UUAGGAAGAAAUGCAUCCACCUUCAUGAAAGCUAAAGUAUCUUUUUCUGCGUCAUAACAACUGCAGAAAAGAAGUUGCAUAAAGCACCAUAGAAGCUACAAUUUGAGUUGUUCUUACAGAAAUGGAGAAUAUAACUGAACUUAAAAACGGAUACCAAAGUACACAAAACAAGAGGCGUGAAGAGACUAGUGGUAUAUAUUUACCAUUUUCAGGUGUAUAAGAUAAUUGGUACAUUCAUUCACUGUCUGACAUUCAACUUCUAUACAAGGAACCAAAAGUCAAACCAAACCUAGGAUGUUUUUGUCUCACCCUGUGCCAUGAAACUUUGAUGCUUAAGUUCUCUUGGGUCAGAGUGCAAGUGGGAGUGUUUUAGAGUUGAUGCAUAAGUUCUCUAUUGCUUAGGCAUUUAAAAUACUGGUCAAACCCUCAGUCGAACCAUUGAAACAUAACUUCAAAUUCUUAUGUUUAUAAGAAUAGCGUGAAUCUGGAUUCCACAUCACCUCAGUUUUCAUGUGAAUUCCCAAUAUGCAACUACAAUGUUUUUUGUUAGAAAGCCCUUAAGAAACUUAGAGCAGCACAACAAUAAUUUUUUUUUGGAAAAGUAAACAAUACAAAGCACCAACUCUGAUGUAUAUCUCACAUGUGACUUUAAGAACCAGAAAACAAAGUUGAACAUACACACCGAAAUGGAUGCUCAGACGUGUAAAAAUCUGGCUUAUUGGCUUUGGCAAUCACAACAUCAAAAAGCUUUACGACCCAAAGAAUCCUGACAAAAACUCACAUUGUACUUUAACAAAUUAAUCCACAAUUAAUGCCAAACAACAAAUAGAAGAAAUUAACCCAUGCACAGACACAUUCAUGCUCUCAUUAAUAACAGACAAACCAAAGCUUUCCUAAGUAAGCAUCCAAAUAUUUUAUACAUCAUACAUAAUCCCCUCCAAUAUUUGCUGGUAGUUGUGAGAUGGAAGCCACGCAUUUGUGGGAUCCUUUCUUACUGUAACAACUAAAACUCCUUUGAGCCAAACCAAACUGGUUCUAGCACCACAUAUAAAAACUAAUAAGUUUUAUACACCUUCAAAACUUUACUUAUGAUCAAGCGCUACCAAGCCAACAAUAGGAUCUAAUUUUAUACUCCUGUGUGAUAGUACUAAUUUUCAAAUUAACCACAUAACUCUCAGUACUGCACUGUGCCAGUAACAAAUUUACUAACGUGUCAAAAAGACCAAUAUUUAAACUCUAAGACAUCAGAUGGAUUUGAAGAUUAGCUUGCAUGAGUUGAACACAAAAUUGACUUGGAAAAACUGAAUUGUACAAAAAAAUUUGACGAUGUGUAAGACUUGACAUUUUACAGGUUCAUGUUGAUCCCUCAAUAUGGUGGUAAACCAUGACACUUUAUAACUCCAAGAAUCCUAAACAUUAACCACAAAAAUCUGGAAUUACUAACUCCCUCCCCUCAAAUAGAAAUAAAAGCAUAUGUAGUCAGAUGAACUCCAAAAUCAGAAAGAAUGAAAGAUAGUACAAGCCCAUAAUAGCGAUCAUCCCUAACAAGACAGUAUUAUAAACAGGUUCGAUUAGUGGAGUCAAAAGGACUAGAUUAACAGCCGGUAGGAAAGGUACUUAAACAAAAUAGCACGCUAAAAGUGGUAGAGGUAGAGUUUCCGGUUAGUUGAUUUUACCUCCAGUAAAAGUUGUCCAAAAAAAAAGUAGUACAAGAAAAAGGAAAAACACCCAAAACCCAAAACGAUUAGCCAGAGUAUAUAUUUUUUUGGCGUUUGCAACAUGAUGACCCCUGAAGUUUCAACAUUUGUUAUCAUAAUAAGAUAAUUAUUUCCACAUAUCUAACCAUGUAAUGGAUCUACAUAGCAUAUAGAAAAAUCAAAGAGCACAUCUCUUCUGGUGAGUCAUGUACUGUAAACUAAGGCCAAGUGUCCACUUCAAACGGUGUUUCUGAAAAAUGAAUACUCUAUACUAGUUUACUACUCUUAGUAUAGAGUAUGUUAAUAUCAGAUAAAGGAAUUGGUUAAAAGCACUUGACUUCCUAAAAAUAUCUAGCAUGAACAGAAAUGUGCAUAAAAAUAUUUUCAAGCUUAUGAAAACAAGUUUAGUAAAUGGACAGCAAACUCAAAUGACUUCGGUCAACAAAUCAUAUCAGCAGUGUUUCUGCAAGAGCCAAAUUAUUUGACUUCAAUAUACUAACAUCAUCAACCAGGUAGUCUAAGCAAAAAAGUAAGAAAAAAAAGGUUGGCAAAAGCAGUGAGUGAAAUGCUAACGCGUUGGUGUUCAACAUGAAAUGAAUGGAGAAGAAUCAAAUUUGCCUAGUCGGAAAAUGAAUGGAGAAGAAUCAUAUACCUAUAUACUACUAAAUGUUAACCUCUCUGGUCGCAAACGCUCCUCUGCCUCCUCCCGAGCUUUCCUUUUCCCGACCAUCUAGGUAGUGAGAGGAGGAGGUGGGUGAUAUUAGUAAAACUGCAAAAUAUAAUCAAGCUUGAAAACACAUAGGAGGACUGUUUUGGUUAACAUACAACUAAAUAUUGGAUAUCUAAGGAAGCAAUUUCACUCUAAUUCCAAUCGAUUUCAUUAUAUAGAUAAUUAGUAGUUAACUAACGAAACUCCCAGAGUCCCAGACAUUGAUGAACAAUGCUCUAGCAUCAAUUCCGAAUACAUAAUUUUCAUUCAAUAAUUAGAGAAAUCACCACAAAACCGCCUCAAAUCGCCAAAUCCCAAAGUGCACUACAGAUUAUCAAACCCAGGAAAACACAUCAAUCCAACUCAUAGAACCACACCGCCCAACUCAUAAUCCCCAAUCACGAGAAACAAAAACUAAUACUCCAGUAAAACUAAUAAACGAUUCGAAAAUCACUGAAACAACAAAACCUAGCACAUCCAACCACGAAAACGGAGAAACAGAGAGCGAGAAAACGGAGGAGUCUGAGAGGCGAUAGGAUACCUGGACUGGUAGGGAUUUAGGGAUUUCGAAUUGGGAUUUAGGGAUUGAGCUCAGUAGAGAUUGGAGGUGGGAUUUAAUCGGGGUUAGAGAUUGGAGGUGGCUGAAGUCAAAUGCGAUGUGGGAUUUAGGGAUUGAGCUUAGUAGAAAGGGGUUGGGCAAGAGGAGGAAGAAGGAGUUCGGGAUUUGGUUCGGUAAGGAGGAAGGAGGAGUUUGGGAUUUUUUUACAAUGUUUGGGUUCUCGAUCAGGAAGUGACGCUGAAUCAAUACAUAGUGACAAUUGAGCGACGAAAAAAUGUAAGGCUUUG
rnacentral:lncRNA from 1 species